GCCCAGGAACCUCUGUCAUCACCCUGAGCAGAAAGAAGAUUCUGCUCCCUGUGUUCUCUUCUGAAUUAAAGGCUCUUAUGGGUCCAUCUGUUCGGUAGUGCUGAGGUAACAUGCCUGUUGUGCAGCUUUGAGCAAGGCUGAGAAAGUGAGUUUACAGCUCCUUCCUUGGAGACUUAAAAUAUGAGAAGUCCCCAAAACUUAGGUAGGUUGUUUAAAAGAUUCUCAAUAGAAAUGAAAUCUUGCCAUUUG